rnacentral:rRNA from 1 species
UACGAAGGACCCGAGCGUUAUCCGGAUUUAUUGGGUUUAAAGGGUGCGUAGGCGUCCUGGCAAGUUACGGUUGAAAUCUCCUUGCUCAACAAGGAAACUGGCCGUAAAACUAGCAGGAUUGAGUACAUUUGAAGCGGGCGGAAUGUGUCAUGUAGCGGUGAAAUGCUUAGAUAUGACACAGAACACCAAUUGCGAAGGCAGCUCGCUAAACUGUAACUGACGCUGAGGCACGAAAGCGUGGGGAUCAAACAGG